rnacentral:rRNA from 1 species
GCCCCGCCGUAAACUUAGAUAUUCCAGUACAACAAAUAUCCGCCAGGGGACUACGAGCGCCAGCUUAAAACCCAAAGGACUUGGCGGUGCUUCAGACCCCCCUAGAGGAGCCUGUUCUAGAACCGAUAACCCCCGUUCAACCUCACUACUCCUUGCUUUUCCCGCCUAUAUACCACCGUCGCCAGCUUACCCUGUGAAGGUACUACAGUAAGCAGAAUGAGUAAUACUCAAAACGUCAGGUCGAGGUGUAGCGUACGAAGUAGGAAGAAAUGGGCUACAUUAUCUGAUCCAGAUUAUUCACGGAAGGUUGUCUGAAACGACAAUCCGAAGGUGGAUUUAGCAGUAAAGGGGGAAUAGAGUGCCCCCUUGAAGCCGGCUCUGAAGCGCGC